AGAAAAAGAAAAAAAAAAAAAGAAGAAGAAAAAACAAUACAAGAAUUAAAAAAAAUUAAAAGAAAUAAAAAAAAUUUAAGAAUCCUACCAAACUUAUUUCUAUCUCGGGAAUAAUGAGAAAUUACAAAAUGCAUUUUUUACUCAAAAAUUGUUCUCGAGAACAGAAUCAUAAAUAAAUCAUUUCUGAUAAAAAAUUGUUCAUUGGAACAAAAUCGUUACCAAACGCGUCUCAAGUAACUUGAAUCAAUUUUUGACAUCUUGAAUUCUUAAUCUGAGGAAACAGUGGGGUACUCCCUUUAUAAGUAUGAUUCAAUCGAUUGUGGACUUAAAAACUGUCUUAGGUGCGUGCCACUGUUGGUCGGCAUUUAAAGGGACUUGAAGAUAUUCAGUUUAUUUUGGACUUCCUGUUAGAGCCAGGAUUCAACAUUUUGUAGAGUUCUAUUGCUACUUCGGUUCCUUCAUUCCCUCAUCAGGUCGCCAAGACAACAGCAAUUACUCCUCUCAGCCGGUCUGUAACCACACGGUCGCUGUGUACUGCUAUAACAGCUUAGCGGGGCGGUCACAUUAGUGGAACCUCGCACAGAACUUGCUGAAUGGACCAGCCUUGUUCUAGUUCUUCACGUCUCGGAGGAAGAGAGUGAAACAAGGAAGGGAAGAUACAGAAAGAAAAACGUGCUGAAGAAUGUUUUGGUUGAAUAACAGUCAUUCGAUUUCUGGGCAAACCAACGAGUGCUGGGCCGUUUGAUCCCUUAAAGGGUGAGUCUUCAUCAAUCUCCUUUGGCUCUCUUUGAAUUUGUUACUUUUCUCUGAUUGCUGGUAUUCCUUUCCUUUGCAUGACUGAGAGAGGACUCGUUGCAGCUCCAACGCCUAAUUCGAGAGUCCUGACAUAUGUCUUUGAAUUUACAAAGGGUGAAGAACAAUCAGACUUACUAAAUCAACUUGCAGGCUUACAAAAGCAGAAGCUCUCGUGGUGGUGGCAAGUAUCCCUUCCAGCUCUGAUGCCAUCGACAAGAAAGUUUUGAAAUGCAAUUUGGGUAUAAACUGUUCCCUGAAACUGAACUCUCACUUGUGAAAAACAUGUUUGGUUACUGUGGCUACAAUGAUCAACUUUUGCAAGAGACAUUUUGAUCCAGUAUUUGACUGCGGUCAUUAGUCAAACAACGUCACCUCGUCCUUUCUUACCCCAAUCCAAGAAUUGACGCUUGAAAUUUCAGAACUGGAAAGAGAAUGAUAGGAACAUGGUAACUACGAAACUAGCAUCUUUAUUCUGGUAUCUUUGGAAAAAAGAUGCGAGGACAUCUUCCAAAAAGAGGCCCUGCAGAGGGUUAAAAGUAGCUCUAGAAGAAUUCUUCAGACUUCAAGUCAUGGUUUGAGUGAAGCAUGUAACAGCAAGAAAGGAGCAACUAAAGCUGAUGAAAAGAAGAGGAAGAACCCAGCUGGUGACCGGAUUACUAUGAACAGUGAGGGAGGGUCGAUUGACGGGGCAAGAGAACACCAAGAAACAGAUGGCAGAAAAGGACCUUGUCACUGUCUGGAUUGUGCUUUGGUUUUACUCACUGGGCUGCUAUGUGCUGGCAAGGAUGAAUUUGGGUGUAGUGUCGGGUUUCAGAAACCCUGGGUGCUCUGAUGAGCAUGCUAAUUCACGAUGCACAGAAGAAAAUUCCAUAAGCAGGUGCUGAUGUAAUAUGUGCAUAAUCAGAUGUAUCGCUUGCGGUUUUAGAGAAAUGCAACUGAACUUGAACUUCCCAAUAAAGACUGCUGCUUUACUAUGACCGCAAAGAAAUAGAUGUACGGCAUACCGAGAUAAGAAGAUGGUGGUCAUGUGGAGGAAAGUGAAACCACAGACAUCAUAUCUUCUAUAUAUUGAAGAAAUAUGGAGAUCAAUCUAUUUGAUUCAAUCUAGAAGUCUGAAUCUGACAGACUAGCCAUUCAUCACAGCCCAUUGAACAUUAUCUAGUGCAGAAUCAGAUGCUGACAGAGAUAUUCACGGAGCCAGAGCAAUUAUGGACCAAUAAUGAAGAAAAAUUGCAGACGUGAGCUAUUAUCUGUAUAGGUUUCGAGGACAGCUGAACAGACUUAAUAGUGGAAAAGCAAGAACUGAUGAUGUGUGAUCACAAUAAAAGAGACCUAUCUCGGAAAGCAAAAGAAAAAGAAGAGGAUUGAAACGGAAGAUUCAUCUAGAAAUCCUCACUACACUCUGCCACUUUUAGAUGAAACUUCCAUCCCGGGCUGUCCGCCUUCUCUUGCUGCGAUGACAUCAAGAACGCCAUGGACGCUGAGCCAAUCGCUUGUGUAAAUGUCUGGCGAAGUCAUCGGAACUCCGUUAAGCAUCAAACGGUCGCCACUUCUUGUGACCUCGAUAACAAAUCCCUCCAGAUGGGUAUGCACCAAUAUUCCAUUGUUGAACUCCAGUAGAUCACUGGACGAGAGCUUGCACGGAAUGACAUGCCGCAGAAAGAUGGAAGGGUAGUCGCUGAAACUCCCCCUGUGAUUCACCAUCGCUUCAUCGGACGGAGUGAAAACUGUCAACAUCUGAUUAUCGCCCUUCAGUUUCAUCAAUUGCAAACCAAGAAAAGAAGCCAUCGCAAAGUAGCCUUUUGAUCUCAUUGCCCCACAAGCCUCACCAAACACAUUCCCGCCAGAAAGAUCCUCCAAACCGCCGUAUCUUGGCGCUACACAUUCAAGGUCAAGGACUGGACUCUGAACUGGAGCCGAAGUUUGGAACUUUGGAUCGAAGAACAUCUCAAUCCCAAAGACCACCAAGUUCCCAUCGUUGAACACCGGCGAGCCGACAAUCUUGACGCCAUUUAUCUCAACCUGAUAAUCAGAUGGCGAGGUGGUGACCAUCAGAGAAUGAUUUGCGUUCAUGGUGGAUAUCUUGGCCCCACGAGGAAGCGACCUCAAGGUAUCGAGAGAGAGCGCAUGGGGUGAGAAGUGUAAUUGAAGGAGAGACAGUGGCGGCUGGCCGAACCGUGCGAAGGAGUCAUCCGCGGGAGAGAAGACAGUGAGGGAGGGGACUUGAGGGGACAUCAGGGUUUUGGAGAUGAGAUUGAGAGUUAAGGACAUGGACACGAAGCCCGAGUUCGAGAGAACAUGGGUGGCUUCUUUGAGGAACUCGAGAGGGAGGGGAGAGCACAGCGGGAGGAGAGAGAGGAGCACGAGGGCGAUGGCGGAGACCGGAGUCGCCAUUGUUGGAGCUGUGAAAAAUGGAGUUUUUCUCUUUCGAAAGGCUCUCGCUUGAAGUCGUUGCAGAGAGAGAGAGAGGCUUCUUUUCUUCUGUUUGGGUCUCGCUGAGAAGGUCGUUAACCGUUAUCUAGCUUGGGGAAAAUUUUGGAGGGAAGAGGGAAUGACCGGCGCAGACCAGAACGACGCAAAAGCCCUUCUAGCAUUUUCUUUUCUCAUUAAUCAGUACAGAAGCAAAUUCUGUGCAUCUUUUUGUUUAUUAUUUAGUAAUUAAUUAAUAAUAUACGUGAACAACCGUGGUGUAUGUGUCACGGUCCGUGAAUCCUCCCGUACUCGUGACACUUGUGAGUGGCGCUUGGGGUUAUCUGGUGAAGAGUAUGAGGCAGAAGGGGUAGAACACAACUGGUCUGUGGGAGUGGCGUCAGGACGGUUGGUGCUAGGAGUUCUAGGAUAGAAGGAUUACAUUACUUAGGAGCUCUGAAGACGGGGUAGGCCUCCCGUGCACAAACUGGUCGGGAGCUGAUGCCGCUCUCCUGACGAGGCCAUGGCAGGCCGAAACCAGUUGUUGUACCUAAAGAGAACUGCUGCCUUACUCGAUGGAUCAGACGCCCGAGCAAAGCUGAGCGUGGUAGGAUCUCGCACGAAGAAUCAUUCACCGUAUCGUUCGUGGAACAGCUAAAGAAAGGGCUGGCCUGGCGAAUUCCGCUCGCUAGGCGCCCGCGGGUCGUUUCCGAGGCCAAGGAAACUCUCGGCCCGUGACA